rnacentral:rRNA from 1 species
UGUGAGGCUUGUAUGUAGGCAAAUCCGCAUACUUUAAGGCCAGGCUGUGAUGGGGAGGGAAAAUUACAGUACCGAAGGUCAUGUGUUCCCGCUGCCAAGAAAAGCCUCUAGCCAGGUGAUGGUGCCCGUACCGCAAACCGACACAGGUAGUCGAGCAGAGUAUGCUAAGGCGCUCGGAAGAACUCUCGUUAAGGAACUCGGCAAAAUGACCCCGUAACUUCGGGAGAAGGGGUGCCUCGGUAGGGUGAGUAGCCCGAGGGGGCCGCAGUGAAAAGGCCCAAGCGACUGUUUAGCAAAAACACAGGUCUGUGCGAAGCCGUAAGGCGAAGUAUACGGGCUGACGCCUGCCCGGUGCUGGAAGGUUAAGAGGAGUGGUUAGCCGCAAGGCGAAGCUAUGAAUUGAAGCCCCAGUAAACGGCGGCCGUAACAAUAACGGUCCUAAGGUAGCGAAAUUCCUUGUCAGGUAAAUUCUGACCCGCACGAAUGGCGUAACGUCUUGGGCGCUGUCUCAACGAGAGAUCCGGUGAAAUUUUAAUACCUGUGAAGAUGCAGGUUACCCGCGACAAGACGGAAAGACCCCAUGGAGCUUUACUGCAGCUUGAUAUUGAACUUUGGUACGAUCUGUACAGGGUAGGUGGGAGCCUUAGAAACCGGAGCGCCAGCUUCGGUGGAGGCAACGUUGGGAUACCACCCUGAUCGUAUCGGAGUUCUAACCUGGUACCGUAAUCCGGUACAGGGACCGUGUCAGGUGGGCAGUUUGACUGGGGCGGUCGCCUCCUAAAAUUAACGGAGGCGCCCAAAGGUUCCCUCAGAAUGGUUGGAAAUCAUUCGUAGCGUGUAAAGGCAUAAGGGAGCUUGACUGCGAGACCUACAAGUCGAGCAGGGACGAAAGUCGGGCUUAGUGAUCCGGUGGUACCGAAUGGAAGGGCCAUCGCUCAACGGAUAAAAGCUACCCUGGGGAUAACAGGCUUAUCUCCCCCAAGAGUCCACAUCGACGGGGAGGUUUGGCACCUCGAUGUCGGCUCAUCGCAUCCUGGGGCUGAAGUAGGUCCCAAGGGUUGGGCUGUUCGCCCAUUAAAGCGGUACGCGAGCUGGGUUCAGAACGUCGUGAGACAGUUCGGUCCCUAUCUGUCGUGGGCGUAGGAAAUUUGAGAAGAGCUGUCCUUAGUACGAGAGGACCGGGAUGGACGCACCGCUGGUGUGCCAGUUGUUCCGCCAGGAGCACCGCUGGGUAGCCAAGUGCGGACGGGAUAAGCGCUGAAAGCAUCUAAGCGUGAAGCCCCCUUCAAGAUGAGAUUUCCCAGUAUGUAAGACCCCUGAAAGACGAUCAGGUUGAUAGGUUCGAGGUGGAAGUGCAGCAAUGCAUGCAGCUGACGAAUACUAAUCGGUCGAGGGCUUAUCCG